UUUAGAUAUCUAUUUCUUAUUACAUUAUGAAGAAGGAAAAACAAUAGUUGUCGUACAGACAUUCUAAGGGUAUUUUUGUAUUCACAUAAAAGAAUUAUUCUGAAAUUCAAGUGAUUGUUCAAAACCCCUCUCCUGAAGGUAGUGUUCUGCUAAACUACUAUAAAUCAAUUACUGAUUUGUUAAUUAUUAUCAGCAACAAGGCCUACACUGGAGAAGGCUCCUGUCAGGACCUGUGGACUGUGAAGAGAGGAGCCCAUGCUGAAACAGGUUUGCUGAAAGGACUUGUGACCCCCAUGGAACAGACCCACUCUGGAACAGCUAAAGAAAAACUGCAGCCUAUGGGAAGGACUCACAUUGGAGAAGCUUGUGAAGAACUGUCUCCCGUGGAAGAGACCCCACACUGGAGCAGGGGAAAAGUGUGAGGCAACCUCUCAUGAGGAGGAAGGAUCAGCAGAGAGAACUGAAUCACAGAAUAACAAAGGAUGGAAUGGAGGAACCUCAGAAUGAUUACUUAUCCAACUCUUCACUAAAAUCAGGGUCAAUUUUGGUUAGGUCUCAUAAUUGUUAUUAAUGUAUCCAACUUCAAAAGAAGAAGAAGAAGAAGAAGAAGAAGAAGAAGAAGAAGAAGCAUGAAAUCCAAAACUGAGCACUUGAAAACCUAGGCAAUAUAUUUCCAUUUAUUGAAAAUAAGUAUUAAUGAAGGCAUUUCUGUUCCACCUGCAAUGUACAGCUUUAACACAUGAGCACUGAAACACAAACAAAGCGGAUGCAAAAUAAGAUUAAACUCAAAGAGAAAUAUUUAGUUUUGUUAAAAGAUGGAGAAUAUGUUCUAAAGCCUAACAACUGAACAUUGUGGCAGGAACAGUGUAGACAAGAUGACUUUUAAUUUUACUUCCACUGUGUUGCCAGCUUGAAGACUUUUAUAAUUCAGAUGCCAGUUGAAGCACAAUAAAUUUUAUGACAGUGUAUAUAAAAUAUGCCUAUUGUGAUUGUACCAUAAUAUCAAUGAAUCUUAAUGUUUCCAGUUGUAGACAACAGUUUACAGAAAACAGCACAUGACAUGUUUCUUGCAGCCUUAAAAAGCUUUCCAGCAGCUAUCCCCUGCCUUUACUUCCAAGCAAGGCCUGAAGAUCCAAGACUCCCAAAGGAAAUGGAAACUAUCUGGGGAAUCUCAUAUCACCUUAUACCCAAUAGAAUACAAAGGAUCAAUUAAAUCACAUUUUUCUUAGCAAAUAAAAUACUUGCUAAUAUCAUUAAAUAGAAAUUUUAUCUACCAGAAAA